CUAAAUUUAGUAUAUAAGCCAGACGGGCGUUUCGUCUACAAGAGAUUCAUCAGUGACGGUUGAAUCCAAAAAAGUUUAAAAAGGCCAAAUAAAGUACGAAGUUGAAGAGCAUAUAGUUAUCUCCCCGAACACUGUUUUCCUUGUGAGUACAUCUCCUCUGUAACCGCAGAAGAAAGCGACAAAUUUAUUUCAUUAAAUUGCUCGUUGUAUCGAUAUCAUGAUUUGUCCCAUUUUAACCGA
rnacentral:lncRNA from 1 species